rnacentral:piRNA from 1 species
UGUUUGCAAAAUAUUUUUUGAAACGAAAU